UGGAGGGUCAAAAGAGACGAUGCGUGGAAUGCGACGAUCCGGGUGGCAAGUCCCUAAUUAGAGCAGUGAAAAUAGAAGCUGAGGACAGGUCGACUUUCAGAGGAAGGCAUCUCUCCUAUUUAGAGCUGACCCCCUUCCCAGGGCCUGUGUAGUGCCUGCUGACCUCUCCAAUUGCUUCCAUCUGAUCAGAAGGAGAGACACACUCAAAACUCACAACCCAGAUCCCAGCUUAAGCUGCGACUGUACCCCUCAAGUGGAGUGCCUGGGCAGGUGGUGAGCAACCCAUCACCCGGAGAGUCCAAGCAGGGCUGCCAUGGAGGAGCAUCCCUAUGCAGGUGGGAGGACCCUCUGGUGCUGAUACUGGUGGUAGCAGGGGCCCUGAGGCCCUGCCUUAUGCCCAGGAGAGGAGGGGGGCUCCUGGGUCCCUCUUUGGAAAGGAGGGUGAAAUUUCUAGGAAAGGCCCAGG
rnacentral:lncRNA from 1 species